UACGGAGGGGGCUAGCGUUGUUCGGAAUCACUGGGCGUAAAGCGCACGUAGGCGGCUUGUUAAGUCAGGGGUGAAAUCCUGGAGCUCAACUCCAGAACUGCCUUUGAUACUGGCAAGCUUGGAGUCCGGGAGAGGUGAGUGGAACUGCGAGUGUAGAGGUGAAAUUCGUAGAUAUUCGCAAGAACACCAGUGGCGAAGGCGGCUCACUGGCCCGGUACUGACGCUGAGGUGCGAAAGCGUGGGGAGCAAACAGG
rnacentral:rRNA from 1 species